rnacentral:ncRNA from 1 species
ACGGAAGCUUGGAGAGGCCAAGAUCGAGCCGGAAGAGAAGGCUCGAAUCUCCCGCUUCAAGCUCCCCAGCACGGAACCCGGCACCCACGCGGAGCACAUGCCGCGGAAUAGGCAAAAGUGUUGCGGGCCUGCGUAUUUGCGAAAAGCGGACGGCCAUAGUGGCCCCUUGGGUGGGGCUGCCGCCGAAGCGCAUCGACAAGACGCCGAGGCCACCCACGCAACCCGAAAAGCACGCUUGGUAACCGGUGUCCGUGCUAGCGGGCGACGAGCCGAACCGACGUUCGGAACGUCGCCCGCUUCGCGUU